CUUAGUACUAAAUUCAUGUAAAUGCUCCACCAAUAUCGGGCAAAAAAAGAGUAUUCUUUUGCCCGAUAUUGUGCCAGAAUUAAAAAAAUAUAUAAGGUAAUAGGUAUUUCGCGCUAUCAGCAGUUUUUUACAAAUGAAAAUUUUUAAAACUUUAAUAUUUGUGUCAGUUGCUACUAAUCUAGGAGUUUUUAUUACAAAUAAGAGUUGUACUCAUAAUAUUUAUUGGCGAAGGAAGUGAUUAUGAAUAUAUGCACGUUCCUGGCCGAAAUAUCGUAUCUUGCUCCUUUCUGAAAUCUGAUACUAAAGCAACGCUUUGAAUAAAUGACUUACCUGCAAUUAAUAAGAAUGCAGUUGAAAAAGAAGUUGAGAGCUCUAAUGAGUAGAAGAAAAAAAAUUGCUAAACCUCUGCCAAGGGUCAUCCCAGCUGGAUGUGUUGUUUGCAGAAGUGUUUGUAUAGACGAUUUCAAAGUUAGGGAAAUGAGAAUUACUCGUAGUAUCACAAGGUUAUUGGAGCGUUUUAAGGAGUUUAUUAUUCUUGAAAUCUAUCGCUGCAUGCCACUGCUUGGCAAUGAAUCUGAUAAUGCUCCAGAUUGGGAUGUACAUAUUGUGCGUUAUAGCAUUGUAUUUACAAAUAUUGACUGACACAUAAACAAUAUGACAAUGAACUAGCAGGUUCUAGUUGCAUUUAAUUUUAUAAAGUAACAAAGAAUGAUCAUAUAUUUUAAGACUAAGUAGAAAAUGUAGAACUCCUAAUAUAGUUCCACACAAUCAGAGUUGCUACCUUCCUUUGUUAUUACACAAAUUAGGCCUACAUAGUGGAUAAACAAUAUAGUGUUGCUAUAAUCCGUCAAAAUUAUAAAUAUUACAAAAAGUCUGCUAAAACUGUAACUGAGGUAUAUAGGAAUUUGUGAAAAGUAAUCAAUAUUUUUUGGAGAAAUAUUUUCAUUUAGAAAAAUACUUUUUGUUUUGCAGAGAAAGACUAAAUGUGCUUAAUUUUAUUUUUUGUUGAUAAUGAAAAAUAAAAAGUUAUGUGAAAAAAAAAA